rnacentral:rRNA from 1 species
GACGAGGGGGGCAAGCGUUAUUCAUCGUGAUUGGGCGUAAAGCGUGCGUAGAUUGUUUGUUAAAUAAUGUAUUUUCCAUGGCUUAACUUGUGGUUAUACAUUUCAAAUAUCAAACUAGAGUUUAAUAGAAGCUCACAGUAUUUUCAAGGUAGAAAUAAGAUUUGUAGAUCUUGAAGAGACUACCAGUUGCGAAAGCAGUGAAUUAUGUUAAACUGACGUUGAGGCACGAAGGUGUGGGUAUCGAACAGG